UACGUAGGGUGCAGGCGUUAAUCGGAAUUACUGGGCGUAAAGCGUGCGCAGGCGGUUUCUUAAGUCAGAUGUGAAAGCCCCGGGCUUAACCUGGGAACUGCGUUUGAAACUGGGAGACUUGAGUGUGGCAGAGGGUAGUGGAAUUCCCAGUGUAGCGGUGAAAUGCGUAGAUAUUGGGAGGAACACCGAUGGCGAAGGCAGCCCCCUGGGCUGACACUGACGCUCAGGCACGAAAGCGUGGGGAGCAAACAGG
rnacentral:rRNA from 1 species